rnacentral:lncRNA from 1 species
GGACCCGGGUUCGCUUCCCGGCGCCCGUGAUAUCCUACUCUUCUGCCACGCUUCAAAAUAGAAUAACUAGCAGUGUCCCAGCAGCGACAUCUACAGCCGGCAACUACUACUAUCACCAACAACAACAUAACACACACACACCUCUACAACAUCAUUUAUGCUUAUCUGGAGAGUUAGUUAGAAGUUAAACUAACUAGAGUUCGAGUCAUGAUUUUCCCCAGCAAGUGCGCAGAUCUGUUUAUACCGUGCUCGGAAGUGUUCAUCUGAUUUUCACCAAUUACUUUACAUAUUGGACAUAAAGGAUUAAGGAACGGACGAGGAGAACUGAUAAAUAUAAGAUGCCAAGACAAACUACAGCGCGUUGCAGAAGUUGUCGACAGACAGGGCACACCGCGAAAAAAUGUCACAUGCAUUUAUGCGUCUAUUGUGACAAAGCAGGACAUAUGGAAGAUGAGUGUAGAACCUUGAUGAAAGAUAGUGAAAAUGGACGAAGGACUGUAUCGCAGAUUAUCGAGUGUUUAAUGUCUCCUUCGAAUUCGAAAGAAGAUACAAGACGCAAACCACAAGUACAUCGCCGUGAGAACCAAACUGUAACCCGCAAACGAUGCAACGCGAAGUCUAAUAAGAAAAAGAUAGACGCAUCUACAAUAGGGCAUUACCGUUCAAAGUUAAUAACUUCUUAUAAAAACGUUGUCGAGAUUAAAGUUUUUUGGUUUAGGUCGUACUAGUUUUGACAACUGCGUAACGUUGAUGGAUACAUCAAUUUUACAUGGCUCAUUGCGCAUCGCCAUUUUGUUGAGAAUAAAUAAAAAAGGUUAUAUUUCUGUUCAUUAGUAGUCAUAUGAUAAAUGCCGUGAAACAAAUUUUCUAUCGAAUUCAUAGACUCGAUAGAAAUAAAAAAAUGGGAAAGAAAUAGUUAAAGAAGCGUAUGGCAUUUCAUGUGUCUGAUAGUAUUCGUCGCUUAAAGUAUGGUCCGCUGGUCUGCCAGGUGUUCGUGGCAAGCAGAGGUCAAGCAGAAUCUUUUGUUUUUAAAGUACGAACCAUAAAGUCAUAAGUAUUAAUUUAUUAACUUGUACUCAAUGUUAUAUGUAAUUCAUUGAAAGGUCUAAUUUGUGUAUUACAUGGCGACGGGUACAUGUGAUUUCGGAUAACACUAUUAGUUUAGAGGUUCGCUCAGCUUAAAACUCAAUGUACGUCAUUAUUUUAUUGUUAUAAUAAGUAUGGGUAUUGCUGCGUGCUACCUGUUACUUUUCGACGUUAUAUCGGGAUAAAAAUAAAGUUAAAUACGUCUACAAAU